UAGAGGAAGUAAAAGUCGUAACAAGGUCUCCGUAGGUGAACCUGCGGAGGGAUCAUUACUGAGUGAGGGCCUCUGGUCCGACCUCCAACCCAUUGUUGUCCGACUCUGUUGCCUCGGGGGCGACCUGGCCUUCGGGCUCGGGCCCCCGGCGGUCUACUUAACUCUGCAUCUUUGCGUCUGAGUAAAUAUUGAAUUAAACAAAACUUUCAACAACGGAUCUCUUGGUUCUGGCAUCGAUGAAGAACGCAGCGAAAUGCGAUAAGUAAUGUGAAUUGCAGAAUUCAGUGAAUCAUCGAAUCUUUGAACGCACAUUGCGCCCCCUGGCAUUCCGGGGGGCAUGCCUGUUCGAGCGUCAUUACACCACUCAAGCCUGGCUUGGUAUUGGGCGCCGCGUCCACCGCGCGCCCUAAUGUCGCCGGCCGAGUCGUCUUGUCUCCGAGCGUUGUGAAUUAUCAAUUCGCUUGUCGGACAGACGGCGCGCGCCGUUAAACCUUUUUUUCAGGUUGACCUCGGAUCAGGUAGGGAUACCCGCUGAACUUAAGCAUAUCA
rnacentral:rRNA from 1 species